rnacentral:rRNA from 1 species
GAUAAACGCUGGCGGCGUGCAUAACACAUGCAAGUCGAACGAUGAAGAUUAAAAGAUUUCUUCGGAAUGAACUUAAUUGAAUUGUUGGCGAACGGUUGAGUACCGCGUUAUUAACCUGCCUUUUACACGGGAAUACCCGUUGAAAACGACGAAUAAUACCCUAUCACAUCAAUUAAUCGCAUAAUACUUUUUUCAAAGAUUUAUCGGUAUAAGAUGCACUCGCUUCUGUUUAUCUAGUUGUAAGAGUAAAACCCUACCAAGGCAACGAUCAGUAGCGGGCUUGAGAGAGUGGACGGGAACAUUGCGAGUGAGACACGGCCCAGACCCCUACGGGAGGGAGAAGUGGGGAAGUAGGCACAAUGGGGGAAAGCCUGAGGCAGCGAGGCCGUGUGAUUUAGAAGGCAUUCGGGUUGUAAAAAUCUUUUGUAUGGGAAGAAAAUGACAGUACCAUACGAAUAAGGACCGGCUAAUUACGUG